rnacentral:rRNA from 1 species
UACAGAGGUCUCAAGCGUUGUUCGGAUUCAUUGGGCGUAAAGGGUGUGUAGGUGGCGCGCUAAGUCGGGUGUGAAAUUUCGGAGCUUAACUCCGAAACUGCAUUCGAUACUGGCGUGCUUGAGGACUGGAGAGGAGACUGGAAUUUACGGUGUAGCGGUGAAAUGCGUAGAUAUCGUAAGGAAGACCAGUGGCGAAGGCGGGUCUCGUGGACAGUUCCUGACGCUGAGGCACGAAGGUCAGGGGAGCAAACGGG